AUUUGCUAAGUUAAUUUCACUUUUUAUAUUUAUUUACAAGCCUCAUAUAAAAAGUGUGGCUACCACUCAAUAGUGAAGUAUAUACAGAGCCUUUGAUUCAUAAUGCAAGAGCGAAAGAGUAGAUUAAUAAAAGUGCCUAAAAUAAAUUUUUGGAUAUAAUUUUUAAGUGUCUAAUCACGUCACCUGACGUCCAGAUUUAUGAUGAAAAAAGAUAGCGUUUUUUUAACUUCGCAAUCAAUAAGGAACAUCUCCAGUAAAGUUAGAAAAAAAUUUCAACAAUAAUUUCUAUAAUCUACAUCUUAUUAGGGGACUGUGUGACAGAACUACUGCAAAGCCACGUAACCAAAGUAAACAGAUAACAACUGCUAAAGGUGGUAAACCACGACAACCAACUUAUAGCAGCCGAAAAAAGACCAUAUAAGAGCGAGACACCGAAUUUGAUAAACUUAGUCUCUUUUGUUCCAUGUUUGACAAAUUUUCUACGCUUUCAUUAAUAGUAAUAAACGCGUUUUUUGUU